CUGCGGACUAGGAAGGAAACUCCGUAAGUUGUACUCUAUUCACCAUCGACGUGGUUGGAAUGGAUUGGCCUGUGAGUGGUUAGGUUGGGCAAAUCAUGAGGUGCCGUGUUAAGCAGCGAAUAAACCAGUGAAGAAUUUUUCAUUUUUUUUCCCUAAUUAAAAAAUUUGAUGAACUUUUCUUUUCUUUCUUGUGUUACAAUUAAAUAUUAAAAAAAUACUAAGUAAAUUUGGCCAUCCACCUUUGGACAAAUCUUUGCCGUACUAAGAAUUGCUAUGAGAUCGAUCCCAUCGAAUUUCCCCGCGAGCUAACUAUCAACGAUUCUGAUGAG
rnacentral:lncRNA from 1 species